rnacentral:rRNA from 1 species
UACGGGGGGGCAAGCGUUGUUCGGAAUUACUGGGCGUAAAGGGCUCGUAGGCGGCCAACUAAGUCGGACGUGAAAUCCCCAGGCUCAACCUGGGAACUGCGUCUGAUACUGGAUGGCUUGAAUCCGGGAGAGGGAUGCAGAAUUCCCGGUGUAGAGGUGAAAUUCGUAGAUAUCGGGAGGAACACCGGUGGCGAAGGCGGCGACCUGGGUCGAGACUGACGCUGAGGCGCGAAAGCGUGGGGAGCAAACAGG